UACGUGAGGGGGCAAGCGUUGUCCGGAAUCAUUGGGCGUAAAGCGCGUGUAGGCGGCCAGGUAAGUCCGUUCUGAAAGCCCGGGGCUCAACCCCGGGAGGCGGAUGGAUACUGCUUGGCUCGAGUCCGGAAGAGGCGAGUGGAAUUCCUGGUGUAGCGGUGAAAUGCGCAGAUAUCAGGAGGAACACCGGUGGCGAAGGCGGAUCUCUGGGCCAUUACUGACGCUGAGGAGCGAAAGCGUGGGAGCGAACAGG
rnacentral:rRNA from 1 species